GCUUCUUUAUCCAUUCAUCUGUCGAUGGACAUCUAGGUGGCUUCCGUGUUCUAGCUAUUGUAAACAGUGCUGCACUGAACAAUGGGAUACAUGUGUCUUUUUCAAUUUUGGUAAAGCCUCCAUCAGCCUUCUCCUGGCCUUGGCCAAAGGGUGCGUGCCAGUGGCUUUGGUGACUCUAGAUAACCUUGGGCCGAUUGCACACCCCCCAUGGCAGUGAGGACCUAUUCGAAUGUCUGCUUUAUCAACUUGGGAUGGUAAUCACUGUGCCUAUCUUGGUGACCAUGGGUGAUGGGUAAUCAGGGUUCGAUUCCAGAGAGGGAGCCUGAGAAAUGGCUACCACAUCCGAGGAAGGCAGCAGGUGUGCAAAUUACCCACACCCAACAGGGGGAGGUAGUGAU
rnacentral:ncRNA from 1 species